rnacentral:rRNA from 1 species
CAGACGGGCAUCCUCCUGCCCAAGCCUCCCACCACGGGAGGACAGGGACACCACGCCGUCGUCGAACGCCUUGCGUCGUCCUUUGCGUGCGCCCUGGGCCGGUUCUACCCCUACGCCGGCCGCCUCGCCGUUGCGCCGGGGAGCAGCGUUGGCGGGAAUGGCGAGAGCAUCGCCAUCUCCCUCCGCUGCCGCAUGGAGGGAGCCGAGUUCGUGCACGCCGUGGCGCCCGCCGUCACUGUGGACGACGUCAUCACGCCACUCUAUACCCCGGGGGUGGUCCGGUCCUUCUUCCCUCUCGACGGGCUCCUCGGCGUGGACGCCGCCGCGGGCUCCCACCCGCUCCUUGCCGUGCAAAUCACCGAGCUCGCCGACGGUGUCUUCAUCGCCAUGUCUCUCAACCAUGCCGUCGGCGAUGGGACGGCCUUCUGGCAGAUCUUCAACACCUGGUCCAAGAUCAGCCGUCAGCAUGAUGGGCUCAUCUCCUCGCCGUUACCGGUGCACCGGAGGUGGUUCUUUGACGGCUGCCCUGUCCCGAUCCCUCUGCCCUUCGGCAAGUUAGAGGACAUCGUCAGCUAGAAUACUGAUGAGAUUGGGCACGCUUCGGUGGAGGAAUGCUUCCUCCACUUCUCCACGGAGAGCGUAAAGAAACUCAAAGCGAAGGCCAACGCAGAGUUGGGCAGCACCACCAUCUCCUCAUUGCAGGCCCUCCUUGCGCACCUGUGGAUCGCGGUGUGCAGAGCAAGGAGGCUGGCGCCAGACCAGCGGAUAGUGUACACCCUUCUCGUCGGAUUCCGGGGCCGCCUGCAUGGCAUACCGGUGGACUACGUGGGAAACGCUGUGGCACGAGUUGAGGCGGUGUCCACCGCGGACGAGAUCCUCAAAGGGGGGCCGGGUUGGGCUGCGUCCCUACUGAAUAGGAUGGUGGCGUCGUCCGACUAGGCGACUGAGAGAGACAGGCACGCAUCUUGGAUCCAAACUCCUACCUUCGCCGGAGUGUCGGCGCGCCCCACGGCCACGGCACUGGUGGUGACGGGGGGCACGCGGUGGUUCGACGUGUACGGGAAUGACUUCGGAUGGGGCCGCCCGGUGGGCAUGCAGACUGGUUCAGCCAACAAGACGGAUGGGACGGCGACGGUGUACGAGGGCAGAGGUGGCGGAGGGAGCAUGGAUUUGGAGGUGUGCCUUGCCCCGGAGGUGCUCGCCAGGCUGGUCGCCGACGAGGAGUUCAUUGAUGGAUCGCAGGGCAAAAAUCUAAUCUGCAGAACUCAAUCUCGAGCUAAGCAAACCCUAAACUUACGAACAAGAAAGAAGAUAAUUUGGUGCAUCAAUACGAGCUGCUUUUCGUGGUCCUUUUCAUUGCAUUAUAUAGGGAUACAAAUCACGUCCAACACGGCACAUGCCCAACACGACGUGACCCGGUACAACGCCGGUUUGCAAACCUUUCCUAAUACGACCUAA